AGGGGCAUGGUGUCAACGGCAGCACAUCGGUCUCCAAAACCGAGAGUCUAGGGUCAAAUCCUAGUGCCCCUGCCA
rnacentral:tRNA from 1 species